UGAAGGACCUCAGCCAUCCCAAUAAUGUACUGUUCUCUCUGAGGUCAGGAAAGCGAUUCCGCUCCCUGAAGGCCAACACAGAGAGACUGAGGAGGAGCUUCUUCCCGCAGGCAAUACGGUCUCUUAAUCACACCACCACACAGUACUGACCCACACAUAUGGUUUUUACACACACACUGGACAUUCUGGACAUUCGUUUACACUAGUGGCCACUGUACAAUUACACUUCGUGGUCAUCAAAUCACUCUAUGUCACUCUAUGUCACCUAUUACCCACUGUAAUCCUUUGAAUACCAACCUCUGUAGACUUCACAGCAUCACUGCCAACAAACUAAGAGGGUUAUAUUUAAAUUAGAUAAAGGAAUUUUAUGUAAAAUGUGCCAAUCUGGGUUUUCAGCACCAUGGACAACAACCUACUGUGACUUAAAGGGGCAUUAUUAUUCUCAGUUUCAGUUUCAAAUUUUAUUUUUAGGCUCUACUAGAAUAGAGUUUGCAUGCUUCAGUGUUCCAAAAACACAUAUCUUUUCUCAUUAAUGCACAUCUCUAUUCACCCUCUGUCUAAUCCCACCCCCAAUGAGUCCAGUGUGGUUUGAUUGGUUGGCUUACCCUUCAUUCCCCUGUCUUGCAGACGUAUCCUUGCAGGUAGGCAGCCAAUAAGGAUUGUGUUAUGAAGAGACGUCAUCAUGUUGUGAAAGUAAGGGCUGGAAUUCCAAUGAGGUGUUUUAGGCAGAUGAGAGGAGUGGUUUCUGUGCCCCCAGAGAGCAAGCCAGUGGCAAGGAAAAACUCCCUAGGAGGAAGAAACCUUGGGAGGAACCAGACUCAAAGGGGAAGCCCAUCCUCCAAGUGCCGGAACAGGAAGUGAUAUGAGCAAAAUGGCAAGGUCCCAAUUCACACUGUCUGUAUUUUAAGAUUUGAGUCUCAAAGUGGGCAGGUGAUGGCAGGCAGGUGCUGGUGCUGCUUCCGAUGACAGGAGGAACUGUGGUACAGCAACAGGGCAUACAGGAGAGACGUUACAGGCUGAGAAAAAAGUGGCAGCAAAGCCCAGGUGAAGAAGAGGCCAUCAGCAUUACAAACCACCGGCUGUACAGGUUCCCAGCAGACAAUCCAAACCUCCUUGAUUAACUGACUCUCACGGUAUGACUAGACAGACUGAGCAGGGCUGCGUGAAAGAGGCCUCACUGCAGUUAGCAUAACCAUUUAUUUUACAGCUCUUCUGUCUCACUCUACUUCAUAAAGGUCACAUCCCCCUUCCAGCUUCCUCUGACGCAAGGAGAUUCAUGCACAAAUAAGUAGCUAGAGCUGUUUUUUUUUCUACUGAUUAAUCUAUCAGUUAUUUUAAUGAUUGGUCGAUCAAUCUAAGUGAUUAAUUUUCCUGCAGAAAAUCACAUCGAGCGUUUAAUUUAAGUUUAAUUUUGACAACAACAAGCUGUAUGUCACUGCAGGGUUAUAGAGAAUAACUACUCCAAUAAUUACGUAGUGAUAUUGAAGAAAGACAUGUCAUGGACUACGUCGACUAAUCAUGGCAGCC